AGAGUUUGAUCAUGGCUCAGAGCGAACGCUGGCGGCAUGCUUAACACAUGCAAGUCGCACGGUUAGGGGCAACCCUGGCAGUGGCGGACGGGUGAGUAACGCGUAGGUAUCUAUCCAUGGGUGGGGGAUAACGCUGGGAAACUGGUGCUAAUACCGCAUGACACCUGAGGGUCAAAGGCGCGAGUCGCCUGUGGAGGAGCCUGCGUCCGAUUAGCUAGUUGGUGGGGUAAUGGCCUACCAAGGCGACGAUCGGUAGCUGGUCUGAGAGGAUGAUCAGCCACAUUGGGACUGAGACACGGCCCAAACUCCUACGGGAGGCAGCAGUGGGGAAUAUUGGACAAUGGGCGAAAGCCUGAUCCAGCAAUGCCGCGUGUGUGAAGAAGGUUUUCGGAUUGUAAAGCACUUUCGGCGGGGACGCUGAUGACGGUACCCGCAGAAGAAGCCCCGGCUAACUUCGUGCCAGCAGCCGCGGUAAUACGAAGGGGGCUAGCGUUGCUCGGAAUGACUGGGCGUAAAGGGCGCGUAGGCGGUUUGUUUAGUCUGGCGUGAAAUUCCUGGGCUUAACCUGGGGGCUGCGCUUGAUACAGGCAGACUUGAGUGUGGAAGAGGGUCGUGGAAUUCCCAGUGUAGAGGUGAAAUUCGUAGAUAUUGGGAAGAACACCGGUGGCGAAGGCGGCGACCUGGUCCAUUACUGACGCUGAGGCGCGAAAGCGUGGGGAGCAAACAGGAUUAGAUACCCUGGUAGUCCACGCUGUAAACGAUGUGUGCUGGAUGUUGGGUGGCCUAGCCAUUCAGUGUCGUAGCUAACGCGGUAAGCACAC
rnacentral:rRNA from 1 species